UACGGGGGGGGCAAGCGUUGUUCGGAAUUACUGGGCGUAAAGGGUUCGUAGGUGGCUCGCUAAGUCAGACGUGAAAUCCCUCAGCUUAACUGGGGAACUGCGUCUGAGACUGGCAGGCUCGAGUGCAGGAGAGGAACGCGGAAUUCCAGGUGUAGCGGUGAAAUGCGUAGAUAUCUGGAGGAACACCGGUGGCGAAGGCGGCGUUCUGGACUGCAACUGACACUGAUGAACGAAAGCCAGGGGAGCAAACGGG
rnacentral:rRNA from 1 species